UGCUGUGAGGAGAGCUGGUGUUCCUUUGGCCUGGGGCCCACCCAGAAUGGACACACUUGGGGGCAGACUGGAGCCCACCUUGCAUCUGGAGCUAAGCUGUCAGACCUGCAGCUUGAAGCAGGGCAGCCUGGCUGAGGCCCACCCAGAUCAGCCAACUUGCAAACACAGAAGAAACCAGUGCUUCUUGUGACAGGGUCUCUCUUUGUUGCCUAGGCUGGAGUGCAGUGGAACGAACUUGGCUUAUUGAAGCAUUGACCACCUGGACCCAAGUGAUUCUCCUACCUUAGCCUCUUGAAUAGCUGUGACAACAGGUGUGCACUACCACACCCAGAUAAAUUUUGUAAUUUUUAUAGAGAGGGCAUUUGACCAUGUUGCCCAGGCUGGUCUCAAACUCCUGAGCUCAAGUGAUACUCCUGCCUCGGCCUCCCAAAGUGCUGGGAUUACAGAUGAAGAAAAUGAGGCACUGAGAGAUUACAUAACUUCCCUUGAGUCAUAUUUGCUUGUAAGUGGUAAGGCUGGAUGUUGAACCCAGGACAAAGGGUCUCACUCUGUCGCCCAGUCUGGAGUGCAAUGGUGUGAUCACGGUCACUGCAACCUCUGCCUCCCGGGUUCAAGCGAUUCUCCUGCCUCAGCCUCCCAAGUAGCUGGGAUUACAGCGGCUUGCAGUAAACUUCUUGGAGGAGAAUUGGCAUUGCAAGGGUGUUACUGGAGACCUCGGCAAGAAAGUGAAUGCAAAGACAGAUGACCCAGGAACCCGUGAUGGAUAAGGCUCUUGACAGCCAGGACGUGGAAUUACAGGGGGUCUCUUUGAGAGACAAAAUAAAAAAAAUAGCCCAGUAAUCUUCCUUCCACCCUUUUCUCCCAGAUCUAAUUACAGAUGUCUUGACAUUCCUUCUGCAUAGAAUUUCCUUAAAAGAUUUGCCAAGAAGAAACAUUUGGAAACUGUGUUUUAGGUAUAAUCCGUCUGGGAGUCACUCUUGCUCGCUUUGUCGUUAGAUGACAAAACGCUUAAUUACAGCGAGCACAAUGUAUACCACAUUUGGAAAACUGGAUUCUUGACCUAAAUAAUGUACCCCAUACUGACAAUGGCCUUUUGGCAAAACUUGUGUCUCUGAUCUCACAUUAAUUACUACACAAAUAUACUUAUUGUGGGCACCGAGUUUAUGGGAUGGAGUCCUCUUGACACAUGUUCACCAUAAAAACACAUUUUUUUCCCUUCCCCUGACCCUAAGGAAAAGAAAAAAAAAAAGAUUAACAUUUUUCAAGAUGCUGUUUUAGUGACAUGAAAACUGUCUGUUGAGUGUUCACUCGGCUUUUGUUCUUUUUCUUUU
rnacentral:lncRNA from 1 species